CCUGUCCCGCCGCCCCCGCCCGCCUACGGGAGGCAGCAGUGGGGAAUUUUGGACAAUGGGGGCAAGCCUGAUCCAGCCAUGCCGCGUGAGUGAAGAAGGCCUUCGGGUUGUAAAGCUCUUUCGGCCGGGAAGAAAUACGCACAGGUUAAUACCCUGUGUAGAUGACGGUACCGGAAUAAGAAGCACCGGCAACACUG
rnacentral:rRNA from 1 species